rnacentral:rRNA from 1 species
UACGUAGGGGGCUAGCGUUGCUCGGAAUUACUGGGCGUAAAGCGCUCGUAGGCGGCUUUCUAAGUCGGGGGUGAAAUCCUGGAGCUCAACUCCAGAACUGCCUUCGAUACUGGAAAGCUCGAGUCCGGGAGAGGUGAGUGGAACUGCGAGUGUAGAGGUGAAAUUCGUAGAUAUUCGCAAGAACACCAGUGGCGAAGGCGGCUCACUGGCCCGGUACUGACGCUGAGGUGCGAAAGCGUGGGGAGCAAACAGG